GCCCGGGUGGCGGAAUUGGCAGACGCAUGGGACUUAAAAUCCCAGGGCCGCAAGGCCGUGCGGGUUCGAUUCCCGCCCCGGGCACCA
rnacentral:tRNA from 2 species